AGUUUUUCAUGAACAAAUGGUCCAGAUUAAUCUCGAACGAGAUCGGACGGCUGCUAUUCGUUAUCGGUUGAAAACUAAGAGAAGAAGAAAAUCUGAGCACCAUCUGAUGGUUGAAAAUCGAUCUAGACUUCGAUCCGACAGUUGGUAUUCAUCCCGACUAUGAAUAGGAGAGAUUGAGCGCGAUCCAGUGGUCGAAAACUCAUCAGAUGUGAGAUCGGACGGCC
rnacentral:lncRNA from 1 species